AACGAACGCUGGCGGCAUGCCUAACACAUGCAAGUCGAACGAGACCUUCGGGUCUAGUGGCGCACGGGUGCGUAACGCGUGGGAACCUGCCCUUAGGUUCGGAAUAACUCCCCGAAAGGGGUGCUAAUACCGGAUAAUGUCUUCGGACCAAAGAUUUAUCGCCUUUGGAUGGGCCCGCGUUGGAUUAGCUAGUUGGUAGGGUAAAAGCCUACCAAGGCGACGAUCCAUAGCUGGUCUGAGAGGAUGAUCAGCCACACUGGGACUGAGACACGGCCCAGACUCCUACGGGAAGCAGCAGUAGGGAAUAUUGGACGAUGGGCGAAAGCCUGAUCCAGCAAUGCCGCGUGAGUGAUGAAGGCCUUAGGGUUGUAAAGCUCUUUUACCCGGGAUGAUAAUGACAGUACCGGGAGAAUAAGCUCCGGCUAACUCCGUG
rnacentral:rRNA from 1 species